AGGUGUGGAUAGGGGAGAAAUUCCAAUCGAACCCGGAGAUAGCUGGUUCUCCUCGAAAUAGCUUUAGGGCUAGCCUCUGGUUAGUCUGCCGCAGGUAGAGCACUGAAUUUCCUAGGGGGCGUCAAAGCCUACCGAAGAAUAUCAAACUGCGAAUGGCGGACAGAUGAUGCCAGGGAGUCAGACUGCACGAGAUAAGUUGGGUGGUCAAAAGGGAAAGAGCCCAGACCUACAGCUAAGGUCCCAAAGUGUGUGUUAAGUGGAAAAGGAUGUGGGAUUUCGAAGACAACUAGGAUGUUGGCUCAGAAGCAGCCACACAUUAAAAGAGUGCGUAAUAGCUCACUAGUCGAGAGGUCCUGCGCCGAAAAUGUCCGGGGCUAAAACACAACACCGAAGCUUAGGAAUUCUUUUGAAUUGGUAGAGGAGCAUUGAAGACGGAACGAAGCCAUACCGAAAGGAAUGGUGGACUGUCUUGAAGAGAGAAUGCCGGAAUGAGUAGCGAGAUUGAAGUGAGAAUCUUCAAGGCCGAAUAUCUAAGGUUUCCAGGGUAAAGCUGAUCUGCCCUGGGUAAGUCGGGGCCUAAGGCAAGGUCGAAAGACGUAGUCGAUGGAUAACAGGUUGAAAUUCCUGUACUGCAUCAAAUCAGAAAUGUGGGGACACAUGAGGGAAGCAUGAGCCGGAAAAGGAAAGUCCGGUACAAGCGCAGCAGAGGACAGAUAGGCAAAUCCGUCUGUCAACUCGAGGGCGCGAUGUGGAGCGAACCAAAGUAGCGAAGCAUGUGGAGCUUGUGUCGAGAAAAGCCGCUAUUGUGUUUGAUGUACCCGUACCGUAAACCGACACAGGUGGAUGAGGAGAGAAUCCUAAGGCCGGCGGGAGAAGCAUUGUUAAGGAACUCGGCAAAAUGACCCCGUAACUUCGGGAGAAGGGGUGCUCCAGAGAUGGAGCCGCAGAGAACUGGCCCAAGCAACUGUUUAGCAAAAACACAGGUCUAUGCAAAACCGAAAGGUGAGGUAUAUGGGCUGACGCCUGCCCGGUGCUGGAAGGUUAAGAGGAGAUGUUAAUCGCAAGGUGAAGCAUUGAAUUUAAGCCCCAGUAAACGGCGGCCGUAACUAUAACGGUCCUAAGGUAGCGAAAUUCCUUGUCGGGUAAGUUC
rnacentral:rRNA from 1 species